UUAAAAAAUAAAAAAGUAUAAAUAACAAAAGUGAGUAAUGACGGAAAAAUGUACAAGUACAAAAAUAUAAUUUAUGUGUAACUCACGUUAUAAAAAAUAUUAAUAAUAAUAAAAUACUCUUAAGCCCUCCCCCUCAAAAUACAAGCAUUACAAAAUUUCAGUACUUAAAUUGCAAGUACUUUACCUCAAUACGUACGUAAGAAUCGCGAUUGUGAAGAAAAAUAUGUAAAAGUAUGUUAAAAUUCUUCCAGCCGCCCUCUCCAAGCGGCUCUGCCAUUAUGUCUGAGAUGACCCACAUCUUACCUGUAAUAUAUCUUCUAUCAUUAACUUUGCAAGAUAUUAAAAAUGGGACCUAUUAUUUUAUAAACAGCUCUUUAAAAAAAAAUAGACAUUUUUAUAAAAUAUUUAAAAAAUAUAGCAGUGUUUGAACAGGAUCAAAGAAACUGAUAGAAGUGGAAUAAAGGUUUUGUUAGGAGCAUAAUCGGAGACUCCCUUUUCAUUGAUAAAAGACGUAAAAAACUUGUACAUAUAUAUUAUAGAAAGAGAUAAUAAUAGUAGACCUAUUCUAAAGGGAUACGUUGAUAGUUUCUUAUUCUAGUGGGAUUAGUUUACAUAUAUAACAAGAUACAUAUCUUUACAGUGUUCGUCAUAAAAUCAGCUGAUAAUACUGUUUUGUGUUAGAUUUAGCACCAAAUUAUCAAGAAAUUUAAAUACUUAAAUGAGAAAGGAUUUGUAUUGUAUUGCUAUAUGAUUUAUAUUAUACAACACUCUUUAUAUCGGUGUGUAUAGAGUGUCUUUAUAUCGGUGUGUACAAGGUAUGUACAAAAAGGAAUAAGACAAUCAAAAAGAAAAAAUGAAUCAUAAUGAGAUACAAUAGAAUCAGAAUCAGAUACAAUAGGAUCAGAAUCAGGUAUACUAAGAUCAGAUUCAGAUUUACUAUGAUCAGAUUCAGAUAUACUAGGAUCAUUUAGGAUUUUAUUCUGAUAAAAAUGAAAUAUUGUUUUUCCUUUAUUCUUCAUGUUUGUGAAAAUAUAAUUGGACAGUCAAACCAUAAACCAUCAAUUUGUCAUGUCAUUUUACUUAUAGAUGCAGCUAAAUUAAACCAUGCUUUAAAAAAAAAGAACAUGUUGUAGAAAGAACUGUAGAUCUUGAUUGGAAAGGUUUUAUAAAUAUCCUCUUGAGCAUAAGCGUGAAAACAUACUUGUAAACCAUAAAAAAAAAAAAAAAAAAAAAAAAAUUUGAAUCCUACAAUUAUCCCUCUUUUUUGUGCAUAAGAAUAAAAAAAGUUAAUUAUGAAAAGAAAUCUCCGGCAGAUAGCAAUCAAUUUUGCAUAAAACAAUAUAGAAAAUAUUAUUAAAUUAGAAAUUGCACCGCUGCUAAUCUAUCAAUGCUAUAUACAUAAAUAUAUAUAAAUGAGGAAUAAUGAGAUUUUCAAUAGUGCAUUUUUAAUGAAAUUUGAAUAUUUUAAAAUAACUUUAAUAACGAUCAAUUAGAAAAUUAUUUUAUUAGUUGAUUGAAUAUAAUUUAUUAAAAUUAAAUUUUAAAUAAAUGCAUAUAGAUAAUUAAGCAUUUCAAAAUUUUAAGUUUUAUUUUUUUAGAUUUAUUAAAUUGAUAAUGAGAGAUUUAAAAAUUUUUGUAUUUAUUUUCCAAAUUUACUUUUAAAUAUUUGAUUAUGUUUUUAUUAUAAUUUAAAAUAUUCUAUAUAGGAGAGAGAUAAAACAAGAAAAAAAUUAUAUUUUUAUCAUAUUUUUUUUUUUAUUUUUAUGUUUAUAUGAUUUGAAUGGAUAUAUUUUUUAAGAAAUAAAUUUUCAAAUGGAAUAUAUAUAAUUAUGCCUUUCAAAAUUUUUAAAUUUUUUACUUGUUAAAAUUUAUUUUUAAAUAAAAUGAACAUAUGUGUAUUUCACAUCACGAACAGUUGAAAAUUUUAAUUUUAAAAAUAUAUAUAAUAUUUUAUUAUUAUAUCUAUAUACCUAUAUAUUUUGAAAUGUAUUUCUUAGGUGUUAUUGUAAAAUUAUACAUAUACAGUUAUUAGAUGAUAUUGUAGAAUUUUAGAUAAAUAACAUUAUAAAUUGAACUAAAAUGUGUGUCUGUAUAUAUAUACUGCUAUUUUAUUAAUUAACUGUUUAUUUUCACAUUAAUCUCAUAUCAAAUUGUUUUAACAUUAUAAAAAUCUAAAUAUUAUAAGAUAAAAGUUAUAAUCAAUAUUUAUUAUUAAAAAAUAAAAAAGUAUAAAUAACAAAAGUGAGUAAUGACGGAAAAAUGUACAAGUACAAAAAUAUAAUUUAUGUGUAACUCACGUUAUAAAAAAUAUUAAUAAUAAUAAAAUACUCUUAAGCCCUCCCCCUCAAAAUACAAGCAUUACAAAAUUUCAGUACUUAAAUUGCAAGUACUUUACCUCAAUACGUACGUAAGAAUCGCGAUUGUGAAGAAAAAUAUGUAAAAGUAUGUUAAAAUUCUUCCAGCCGCCCUCUCCAAGCGGCUCUGCCAUUAUGUCUGAGAUGACCCACAUCUUACCUGUAAUAUAUCUUCUAUCAUUAACUUUGCAAGAUAUUAAAAAUGGGACCUAUUAUUUUAUAAACAGCUCUUUAAAAAAAAAUAGACAUUUUUAUAAAAUAUUUAAAAAAUAUAGCAGUGUUUGAACAGGAUCAAAGAAACUGAUAGAAGUGGAAUAAAGGUUUUGUUAGGAGCAUAAUCGGAGACUCC
rnacentral:lncRNA from 1 species